rnacentral:rRNA from 1 species
UACGUAGGGUGCAAGCGUUGUCCGGAAUUAUUGGGCGUAAAGAGCUCGUAGGCGGUCUGUCGCGUCGGCUGUGAAAACUCGGGGCUCAACCCCCGAGCCUGCAGUCGAUACGGGCAGACUAGAGUGCGGUAGGGGAGAUUGGAAUUCCUGGUGUAGCGGUGGAAUGCGCAGAUAUCAGGAGGAACACCGAUGGCGAAGGCAGAUCUCUGGGCCGUUUACUGACGCUGAGGAGCGAAAGCGUGGGGGAGCGAACAGG